rnacentral:rRNA from 1 species
UACGUAGGGGCUAGCGUUAUCCGGAAUUACUGGGCGUAAAGGGUGCGUAGGUGGUUUCUUAAGUCAGAGGUGAAAGGCUACGGCUCAACCGUAGUAAGCCUUUGAAACUGAGAAACUUGAGUGCAGGAGAGGAGAGUAGAAUUCCUAGUGUAGCGGUGAAAUGCGUAGAUAUCGGGAGGAACACCGGUGGCGAAGGCGGCUUUCUGGCCAGUUACUGACGCUCAUGCGCGAAAGCUGGGGUAGCGAACCGGAUUAGAUACCCUGGUAGUCCCUGAGCGGG